rnacentral:rRNA from 1 species
AGCGAACGCUGGCGGCAGGCUUAACACAUGCAAGUCGAGCGGGCACUUUCGGGUGUCAGCGGCGGACGGGUGAGUAACGCGUGGGAACGUGCCCUCUGGUUCGGAAUAACUCAGGGAAACUUGAGCUAAUACCGGAUACGCCCUUUUGGGGAAAGGCUUGCUGCCGGAGGAUCGGCCCGCGUCUGAUUAGCUAGUUGGUGAGGUAACGGCUCACCAAGGCGACGAUCAGUAGCUGGUCUGAGAGGAUGAUCAGCCGCACUGGGACUGAGACACGGCCCAGACUCCUACGGGAGGCAGCAGUGGGGAAUAUUGGACAAUGGGCGCAAGCCUGAUCCAGCCAUGCCGCGUGAGUGAUGAAGGCCUUAGGGUUGUAAAGCUCUUUUAUCCGGGACGAUAAUGACGGUACCGGAGGAAUAAGCCCCGGCUAACUUCGUG